GCACCUGUAGUUCAACGGAUAGAACGACGGUCUUCGGAACCGUUAAUGGGGGUUCGAUUCCCUCCAGGUGCACCA
rnacentral:tRNA from 1 species